UCUCCUGGAAACGGGUGGUAAUGCCGGAUGCUCCAGUUGAUCGCAUGGUCUUCUGGGAAAGCUUUCGCGGUAUGGGAUGGGGUCGCGUCCUAUCAGCUUGACGGCGGGGUAACGGCCCACCGUGGCUUCGACGGGUAGCCGGCCUGAGAGGGCGACCGGCCACAUUGGGACUGAGAUACGGCCCAGACUCCUACGGGAGGCAGCAGUGGGGAAUAUUGCACAAUGGGCGCAAGCCUGAUGCAGCGACGCCGCGUGAGGGAUGGAGGCCUUCGGGUUGUAAACCUCUUUUAUCGGGGAGCAAGCGAGAGUGAGUUUACCCGUUGAAUAAGCACCGGCUAACUACGUGCCAGCAGCCGCGGUAAUACGUAGGGUGCAAGCGUUAUCCGGAAUUAUUGGGCGUAAAGGGCUCGUAGGCGGUUCGUCGCGUCCGGUGUGAAAGUCCAUCGCUUAACGGUGGAUCCGCGCCGGGUACGGGCGGGCUUGAGUGCGGUAGGGGAGACUGGAAUUCCCGGUGUAACGGUGGAAUGUGUAGAUAUCGGGAAGAACACCAGC
rnacentral:rRNA from 1 species